GACGGAGGUGGCAAACGUUGCUCGGAAUCACUGGGCUUAAAGGGCGUGUAGGCGGCUGCUCAAGUCGGGUGUGAAAUCCCUCGGCCUAACCGAGGACAUGCUCCCGAUACUGGGCGGCUAGAGUGUGGGAGGGGUAAGUGGAACUCCAGGUGUAGCGGUGAAAUGCGUAGAUAUCUGGAGGAACGCCGGUGGCGAAAGCGACUUACUGGCCCGCAACUGACGCUGAGGCGCGAAAGCUAGGGGAGCAAACGGG
rnacentral:rRNA from 1 species